rnacentral:rRNA from 1 species
GAUUUCUGGCCUGAAGUAUUUUGCCGGCCACGGUUUCGUGUGUUAGUGCUUGAUACUCUGGCCAUCCUUCCAAUCGCUAUCUGCUUCUCUUCAUUGAUUAGUAGGUGGUAUUGGAUCUUUUACUUUGAAAAAAUUAGAGUGUUCAAAGCAGGCUUUUGCUAUGAAUAGAUUAGCAUGGAAUAAUAAUUUAGGACUUUGGUCUUAUUUUGUUGGUUUCUAGGACUAAAGUAAUGAUUGAUAGGGACAGUUGGGGGUGCUAGUAUUCAGCGGCCAGAGGUGAAAUUCUUGGAUUCGCUGAAGACUAACUUAUGCGAAAGCAUU